AUGCCUUUCCCAGUCUUUUGGCUAAGAUAAAGUGUAAUAUUUGUUCUAUCAGUUUAAUAUCUGAUAUGUGUACCAUAUAUUACUUUAAUAUUAAAUUUAUUUCUUACGCUUCCACAUAGAACCAUUUUGCUGGCUGAGGGAAGACGAGCUGAGGAAGCUAU
rnacentral:snRNA from 1 species